rnacentral:rRNA from 1 species
AGUGAACGCUGGCGGCGUGCCUAAUACAUGCAAGUCGAACGAAGUGGCGCACGGGUGAGUAAUCUAUAGUUAAUCUGCCCUACACCGAGGAACAACAGUUGGAAACGACUGCUAAUACCUCUUCGUGUAGGACGUGACUAUAUCGUAUCAGCUAGUUGGUAAGGUAAUGGCUUACCAAGGCUAUGACGCGUAACUGGUCUGAGAGGAUGAUCAGUCAAAUUGGAACUGAGACACGGUCCAAACACCUACGGGAGGGAGCAGUAAGGAAUAGUGCGAAAGGGGGGAGACCCUGACGCAGCAACGGCGCGUGGAGGAUGACACUUGUCGGAGCGUAAACUCCUUUUAUCAGGAAAGCGGUAGCUGAAGAAUAAGCACCGGCUAACUCCGUGCCAGCAGCCGCGGUAAUAG